rnacentral:lncRNA from 1 species
CGGAGCGUGCCGCUAUAAUGGAGUCGGGCUGAGAAGCCAGGUGACUCGAGUUGAGGGUGCUGAACCUCGCAUGCGGAGCUUGCCGCUACAAUGGAGUCGGGCUGAGAAGCUAAGUGACUUGAGGCGAGGGUGUUGAACCUCGUAUGCGGAGCUUGCCGCUACAAUGGAGUCGGGCUGAGAAGCCAGGCGACUCGAGGCGAGGGUGCUAAACCUCGCAUGCGGAGCUUGCCGCUACAAUGGAGUCGGGCCGAGAAGCCAGGUGACUCGAGGCGAGGGUGGUGAACCUCAUAUGCGGAGCGUGCCGCUAUAAUGGCGUUGGGAUGAGAAGCCAGACGACUCGAGGUGAGGGUGCUGAACCUCGCAUGCGGAGCGUGCCGCUAUAAUGGCGUUGGGAUGAGAAGCCAGACGACUCGAGGUGAGGGUGCUGAACCUCGCAUGCGGAGCAUGCCGCUAUAAUGGAGUUGGGCUGAGAAGCCAGGCCACUCGAGGCGAGGGUGCUGAACCUCCCAUACGGAGCGUGCCGCUAUAAUGGAGUCAGGAUGAGAAGCAAGGCGACUCGAGGCGAGAGUACUGAACCUCGCAUGACUGGGUGUAGCACCCUACAAUCUAUGUAUCUAGCUCGUGUGACCAGUCUGGGUUAAAUAGAAAUGGUACCUGACGCUUUGUUGCCUCG